rnacentral:lncRNA from 1 species
UGCAACUAGAUUACAAUUUUUUUUAACACUAAACAAUAUUAUAUUGAUCAAGGUAUUUUACAAAGGAGAAACAUGGACCAUACAACAAAGUCGGACAAAAUAAAGGAUUCUCCGGAGACAUAUCCCUCGACUAGGAAACAUUUUAAAACCAAUUUAAGAUAACAUACAUGGUGAUUAAAAGCUAAAGCAAGAUUAAAAACUAACAAAAACGAAGAGGAAGAAAGCUCCAAAGAGAAAAACACCGACACUCCAAACGCAUCUUUGAUGAAGAACUUGAAACCUCCCAUAGUGAAUAAGCAUAGCAGUUUAACCAAAGAAACCUAAGCUUUAAACCGGAGAACAAAACACAUUGUUAUUACUUUUAUCCGGAAACGGCGGAGUCAAACUCAACUGAGGAGCGACAUGCAAACGCCAAGGAAGAAGCUUGUGAGAUCGGACCUCUGAAGAGAAGACAUGGAGCGUAUCACCACCAUCCAUUCAAACAUCAGCCUUGAGAAUCAAAACGGAUGAAGGAUCGAAACGAAAGGAAGUCAAAGAGACCAGCAAAGGAGAGGAGGUGCAUGCAGCUUGAAGAUAAAACCACCACCCGUUGAUCUUGCAGAUCUAAAACCUCAAAACAAGCUAGUCCGAAACAGAUCAAGAGAAGAUCUGAAAUUCAGUUUAUCACCACCAAAAUCUACAUGCAAUAACCGAUGAAAAACAAGAAAGAAACUAAAUAUAAAUGAUCAAACCCGACUCCGGCUUUGUGGAAGCAGCCGGAGCCGGUGAACAGAGAAGAAGAUCUAAAGAACUAUAGAGAGACGGGAGAGUUUUGAGAGAGGAUCAGAGUUGAGAUUAAUUACAAAUUUUUCUAGUUUCUAUUUUUUUUUACCACUUGAAUGGAAUAAAAAGCAAAGUUCAUU